CCCGCCCUCUCCGGGCGGAAAUGACGUCAGAGGAACAUGACCAAAGUCUCCCCCCGCGCGCUGGCUAUUUGUGAGCCUGCGCAGAAAGUGGGUUGGCACAACCUAAUCCAAGCAUAAACUAAACUCAUUUACCAUACGGUUGUCAGCUUAAUUUUUUCGGUUGGGUUUAAUCCACUCAGGGUUCUCCGGAAGCGGAAUAAAGCCCUUCAAAAAAUCAAGAAAAUGCUUUUGAGAGGAGAGCUCGUGGCCACGACGGUGAGUUCCAGUGGCAGUCACUAGAUCAGACCCCUUCACAACAAACUCGUUUCCAGCAGCUCAACGUCUGAUAUUUUUAGGUUCUGCCCAUAGCUACAGAAGUCAUGGAUCGGUUAGAGCGACGUGAAACUUGUAUCACAAGCACUCAUUCUGCCUUUCGUUUAAUCUGAAUGAGAAUAUUCUUUGGAAAAUAAUACUCUGAUCAACCCAGGCUUAUUAAAUGUAGAGUCACACAGCAGAGACCCGGAGGCUUCAGCUCAUUGUGGAAAAGUGACCAGCUUAGCCAUUUACCACCACUUGGUCAGAUACUCCUUGAACGUGGCCAUGUCUGUCUCCACCACUCUCUCGAACAAUGUGGUCCACAAUCCUCUAGAUGUGAAUAGUCCCUGCAGAUCCCCUAUAAACAUCUUAGUCCUCACCUGGGUGCGUGGAAUGGGCUGCCAGCAAUGGUGGUAGAGACAGAUACAAUAGAGACUCUCAGAUAGGUACAUGGUGCUUAGAAAAAUAAAGGGCUGUGCCAGGCAAUUUCUAGAGUAGUUUCUAUGGUCGGCACAACAUUGUGGGCUGAAAGGCCUGUAGUGUGCAAUGUUGAAAAUAUUCUCUCUUAAUUUUGUGCACUUCUACUAGGUCCCUGCCCUUAGCCUCCUCUGCUCCAGGGAAAACAAACCAGCCUAUCCAGUCUGUCCCCAUAACAGAUGCUCCAUCACACACAACAUCCCUCUGAAUCUCCACUGCUGCCUCUCCAGAGCAAUCACAUCUUUCCUGUAGUGUGGUGUGUAUAAUACUCCAGCUGUGGCCUGCAGAAAGGUUUCAUAAAGUUCUUGUGUUUGUCUUCCUGGCCAGCAACCCACAUGCCUUCCUUACCCAUAUAACAGCCUCAUCCUAUCUACCUGUGUGCCUCCUUCAGCAAUCCAUAGACUUGUACACCCAGCUGUCCAUGCUAUAACAAUCAGCAGAAACUACCUCUCUUCAGCCCAGUUCUCAGGGCUGAUGCUCAGGUGGUGAGAUCUCUCUCAGCUGAUGCAGAAGAUUCACCAGCAGCUCAGGCUGGAACACCAGACACAUAGCGGCAGCAUCCAAACAGGCCUUUCACCAGGACACUCACUGACAAGUCUGUACAUCUCCUGAUUCCCAUCGAUCCCCCCCCCCCCCCCCCCGGUCUCUACACUCAAUCUACACACACCACAGGCAACUGAGAGCAGCUCAUGCAUUUUUGAGAUAUGGAGAAAACCUAUGCAAUCACAGGGAGAUUGCGCAGCACCCCAGAUCAGGAAUUGAGCCCCGAUUCUUUGGAGUUCUGAGACUACUUCUCUACUACUGAUACACCACUCUGCCUCUUGCUCUUUCCUUACCUUCGCCUCACCUCAUGCUCCAAGGUAAAGGCAAGUUUACGUAUGCACAAUGCAAUUAAAUUGGAAUUGGUUUAUUGUUAUCAUAUAUACAGUGUCUUGCAUGUUGUUUAUACAGAUCAGACUCUGAACAUUGAGGUCGAACAAGGUAAAACAAUAACAGAAUGCAGAAUAAAGUCGAACAGCUACAGGGAAAGUGCAGAGCAGGUCAAGGAGGUAGAGUGGGAGAGCAAGCUCAGGUUCAAAUUCAAGUUCAAUUAACCACCUAUGAAUACAGCAAAACGAAACAGUGUUCCUCCGGGCCAAGGUGCAAAUCAUAUUACCAACAGCACACAGUGUACAGCAGAAAUAGCAUAUUUGGUUACAAACAGAAAAACAUCCAGUCAUGAAGGAAAAGUAAUUAUAUAGCCCAAGUCCCUGAGUGGCAUGACUGUGGAUUUACAAAAAUUUGUUCAGAUUCAGCUUGCUCUUCCACUGAGCAAACACUGGGGAGUAGCACAAAGUCAACACCAGAGGACAGUACCAAACACUGGAGAGCAGCACCGAGCGAACACUGGAGAGCAGCACCGAAGGGCAGCAAUAAGCGAACACUGGAGGGAAGUGCUGAGCAAACACUGGAGGACAGCACUGAUUGAAUUCCACCAUGCUCCAUAGAGAAUCUUUCACUCUGCCUUGGUGUCCCCUCUCCCUGGUCACCUGCAACAGGUGACCCCGUGGUGUGGCUCUAGUCCAGGCAUGGGCAAACUAUGGCCCGCGGGCCAUAUGCUUUUUAAGCUUUUUAAUCUGGCCCGCAGAACUUGAUGAAAUUAUAUUAAUAAACCUUGUUAACGUUUUUUUCCCCGCAAUUCUGGCGUUUUCCCAAUAGAUGACGCACUCUAUAUACAUUGACCUUUGUUGAGGUGCAGCGUAUUACUCCACAUUUGCGCUUUACUCUUUGUUCGGCUCGACCAAUUUGUGUGAACAGGCGUUCAGCGUCAUGAACAUCAACAAAGCCAGCCACAGAUCCAAGUUAACUGACCAACACCUCAGAUCCAUCCGGAGAAUCGCCACAACAAAACUAAAUCCAGACUUUGAUGCGCUGGCUAAAAUGGGAGACCAACAACACUGUUCCCACUGAAAUUAAAAAUAAGUUUCUUCAUUGUGUUAUGUAAAAAAUGCAUUUGAAAAUAUUUUUUUCAAUAAGCCUUACAUGUUACAUGUCAUUUCUGUUAAGUGAUGGACAUGAGUAGUGCGCAGGUGCACGUACGUUCUCAAAAUAACAAAAUGCGCUCCAGAUCAAAUAAUGCGCUCCGCAUACUGGCGCGCUGUCAUUGUUCUGUCUUUGUGCUGGUCGCUGUUGAGUUUUGGCACAGGGGACAAUUGAAUAAGAAGGAGCAGGACAAGUAGACCCGCAUCUCCUACUGUUUUUGAAAUAAAGACAGUCAGGAGGAGAGUGAUGAUGAUAAUAUCUUGAAGGAUAACAGAAUUUUCAGUGCUUUAAAAUAAUAACUGUUACUAUUAAAAAAGCUGUAUUUUAUUCAUUUAAUUUUCAGUGUUUUAAAAGUCAUUUCAAUAAAUAGCUAAAUACCAUGGGACUUCAAAGACAGAUAUUUUGUUGUAAUUUUCAUUUUCAUUUUCAAUUGAAAUUAAAGCACAUGUUUUCUACA